rnacentral:rRNA from 1 species
GUCCUCUCAUUCGUCCGGUUCCCACCUCCUCCUCUCCCUGUCUCGAUCUCCUCUGUGAACCCACGCUCGCACGCUCGCCCUCUCGCCUCCGCCUCUGCUCAUCCUCGCGCCGCCGCCUCCGCCUCUGCUUGCCCUCGCGCCGCCGCCACCGCCUCUGCCUCUGCUCGCCCUCGCGCCGCCGCCUCCGCCUCUGCUCGCCCUCGCGUUGUCGGGCCGUUUCCUCCUCCACGCCCCCUUGGUGCUCAUCAGGAAAAGCGCGGCUCGGCGCCGGCCCUCGUGAGUGAGGUAGGACGCGCGCAGGAGGGAGCGGCGAAGCAAGGUGGGGUCGGUCGAGGUGAGCUGCCUUUCCUCUUCGCGUGUUAG